CCUACGGGUAGCUGCAGUGGGGAAUAUUGGGCAAUGGGCGCAAGCCUGACCCAGCAACGCCGCGUGAAGGAAGAAGGCUUUCGGGUUGUAAACUUCUUUUCUCAGGGACGAAGCAAGUGACGGUACCUGAGGAAUAAGCCACGGCUAACUACUUGCCAGCAGCCGCGGUAAUACGUAGGUGGCAAGCGUUAUCCGGAUUUACUGGGUGUAAAGGGCGUGUAGGCGGGGACGCAAGUCAGAUGUGAAAACCACGGGCUCAACCUGGGGCCUGCAUUUGAACCUGUGUUUCUUGAGUACUGGAGAGGCAGACGGAAGUCCUAGUGUAGCGGUGAAAUGCGUAGAGAUUAGGAGGAACACCAGUGGCGAAGGCGACUAUCUGGCACAUAACUGACGCUGAGGAGCGAAAGCGUGGGUAGCAAACAGGAUUAGAUACCCCAGUAGUC
rnacentral:rRNA from 1 species